GCGCACCAGGCGAGAAUCCUUCGCAAUGCGGGAAACCGCGACGAGGGGACUCCCAGUGCCUACGCUCAGCGUAGGCUGUUCCCGAGCCUAGAAAGCUCGGGGAGUAAGGGCUGGGUAAGACGGGUGCCAGCCGCCGCGGUAAUACCCGCAGCCCGAGUGGUGGCCACUAUUAUUGGGCCUAAAGCGUCCGUAGCCGGCCCGGUAAAUGCCUGGGUAAAUCGUGAGGCCUAACCUCACGAAUUCCGGGUAGACUGCCGGGCUAGGGACCGGAGGAGGGAGAGGGUACUCCAGGGGUAGGGGUGAAAUCCUGUAAUCCCUGGAGGACCACCGGUGGCGAAGGCGCUCUCCUAGGACGGGUCCGACGGUGAGGGACGAAAGCCAGGGGAGCGAACCGGAUUAGAUACCCCUGUAGU
rnacentral:rRNA from 1 species